rnacentral:lncRNA from 1 species
AUCUAUCACAUGGCAGUGAGAGAGAUAUAUAAUAAAAACAGAAAAAUGGCGACAGUCACGUUGUGGCGAGUCUAUGCUGCGUCAUUAGAUAAUCUUCAUGCAAAGAUCGCUAAGAACAAAGAAAAAAAGAGAGAGGGGGUAGAAAACGCGGCUGGAAAGGUGGGUGGGCAGAAGGCAGCGGCUUGCGGGGAGCGGGGGGUUGGACGGGAUCAGGGAGGGGGCGGGCGGGCGUGUGUGUUUUUCCAGGGCAUCGCAGCCAGGCAGCCCAACUCCCGAGCUGCCAGGUCUCCAUUCACAUUUCAGACUCUCUCGGAAAGCCCAGCUACCGAGGUUGGUGCAUGUUUAUAGGACGGAGACGGGAGGGGUGUUUCUCGAGGGUGCGGGGUCUGAGGGGAGGAGUAGCGGGUCAGAUUCGGGUUCCCUUCCCCCUUGUUUUCCCUUCCUACCCGCGAUCGCCCGUGGCUGCACGCCGCUGGAGACGCUGGGUUUUGUUUACAAGCGGGGCUCCCUAACAGCUGGCUAAUUAUUCUGCUCUAACCAUCAGGCACGCCUACCGCAGGCGCACUUUUCGGGUACGGGAGCGAAUGUUUUGCUUUGCUUUGGGGUUUCUUCCCCACCCCCGAGGGACGGGGAGGUGGGUAGGGGUGGGGUCCCAUCUUCUCCCCGAACCCUUUGACGGAGCGGAUGUUUAGAACGAGGCGAAUUUUUCUACCCUACGGAGGGGAGACCUCCUCUUGCGCUGCGAUUGUGGAGGUGGCGGGGGGGGGCGCAUGGCUAGUGAGCCCCCGAGGGCGGGUGCCUGGGUGGCUUUUUAAAAAACGUUGCGCACUCUUAUUUUGCUUAAGAAUCCUGGCGCUGCUCCCUUCCAGUCAAGCGAUUGUAAAUAUAGCCUAGAUGUUGUUUACAUGAAACAUCCAGAGGGAGGAGCCUCGGAAGCAGAAGGAAGAGGAAGACGGAGGAGGCUCCCCGGCUGGCUGGGGUGAGUAUCCCGAAAGGAGGAGCUACAGCUGGGGCUGGAGGCUGUUGUCAAGCAGCCUUGGCACCGCGCGCUUUUGAGGGUCGCUCCUCGGACAAGUGCUGCUACUCGGAUACCCCAAAGCUUCUUCCCUGUUGGAGAUUCCGGGCUGGCAAAGGGCAGGCGAGCCGGUUGUUCUGGCCUGCUGCUGUUCUCAGUGCUGGGAAUGUCUUCUGCCUCAAACCCUGGAGAUGCCACUGCCGUUCAGAGUAGACAGGAGGGGGCUAAAUGGACCAUUGGUGUGAUUUGGUCCAAAGCAGCUUCCUGUAGAGUCGUGUUUCUCCAGUAUGGGCACUUUUUGGAGUGCAUCUUCUUUUAUUUUCAGCUGGUAAGGUAGGGAGGGCCAGGGGUGCCUUCCAAUAUAAUAGAGCUGAAGAUGCACUGAAAGGGCAGCAGAUUGUCAGUGACUCAGUGUAGUGCGCUCUGUUCUGUUUGUUUUACUGCAGAGUUUGGAUUUUAAGCCAAAAUGUCUUGAGGCUGUGCAUGAAAUGAUCAUCUUUUGAAUUAAAGAGGGGGGCGUUGUCAGCUCUUAGCUCUCUAUUGCCUGUCACUUUAAAAGUGAAGGAAGAUGCAGUUCUGUGCCACCUGCCCUAUUCCACCACUAGCCCCUGUCACCCACCUUUCUCCUCAGUCUGCUUUAGGGCAAGAUCAACUCCUGCUUGUUAAGGCAGCUGGAUAGGAAACGCUGAAGGAAUGGAAAGGGCAGCCUAGUGGCUGUGGCUAUGCUCUUGCUUCAGAGGUUUCAAAAGACCACACAUGAUCUCUAGCCUGUCAGCUGACAACACUAACUUUGGGGAUCUUGUGUUUUUUGACAGAGAGAUUUGGGGAGAUGGAGCUUAGCCCCACCAGUACCGUGGUGAGGCGAGGUGCACAGUGGGUUGCAAGUUGCAUCAGCUAAAAUUCCCUCAUCUGCACAACUAGGGCCCUGGGUGUUUAAAAGGCUGCCCCUAUUAUAAGCAGUCAUAGCAUGCACGCCACAUUUAUCCUCUCUGAGAGAGAGUAACUUGCCCAAGGCCAACUAGUGGCAUCUUGGCUGAGCAGAUAUCAGGACUUGUAUGUCUCUUGUCAGAAGCCAGUAGUGUGUUACUGUCUCACACUGGCCCUGUAAGGCUUGAGUUUAUCCAGAAACGGUGGUAUGCCAACUGAUCCUAGUCAUGUAUACUCAGAAAGAAGGUCCAUUUAGUUCAUUGGGGCUGACCCCCAAUUAAGCAUGCAGGACUGAAGCCUUAACCUCCAUCUUGUUUUCAAUUCCUGGCAAUGCAUGUAAGACUAGAGUGCCUCUGGGUAUGGCCAGAGUGUCUUUCCAUCACACACUGAGUCACUACCAGCCCUCCCGCUCAUCCUGAAAAUUAACUACUGGGCCAGGUAAAGCCUGGGACAGUCUGACCCUCAGAUUCCAGGAAUAAGCUCUGAAAAUAUGGAGUUAGGGAACAAAUUUCAAAUACAUGACAUCUAAAAAAAAAUCAAGGAUAUCUGAUAGUUCUAGGCAUAACAAAUCCCUAUGAAGCUAUUCCCGCAAGAUCCAGGGAGCAUUUCCUUUCUCUUUCUCCCUCCUGUUUUAUUUUUAUGUUGCAAUUUAGCUGUUUCUGAACACGCUCGUGUCAACUGGCUACUUGCCAGCCGAGCUUCAAGGUCUUCCUGCUCAUCCAAAUGUACUAAUUAUUUGUUUCUUAUUCUCUCUUGCUCCAGAGGGCAGGCUGAAAAUAUCAGGGAAGCAGGCCCCAGCUAAAGAUUAGAAGUAGUAGGAGAUAUUUGACACAGAGGAACAGGCUGACCCUGGGAAGCAGCAGGCGCUCAUGUUUAAGCAGAGACUGGGCAGCUUAUCCUGCCAGGAUCCCACCUUGAGCAAGAGGUUGGACUUGAAGUUCCUUCCCUAGGUCCCUUCUGCUUGUGUUACCUGAAACAUUUUCAUGCUGCCAGACAUCUUUUAUUUCAUUUCUGAACUGUGUGCAAUAAAUAAUUUUAAGAAAAAUAAAACUGAAUAAAAUGCUUUAAAAAUUGGCUUCCAGCAGAUUAAAACAGCUGGGUAAUAAAAUACAUUGUUGCCUAGUGCCAACAUUAUUGUAAAGUCGAUGCUAGGCAAGCUUCUCUAAGGAAGAUGUUCCAUAGCUGGGGUGCCACCACUGAAAAUGCCCUGUCUCUUGCUGCUGAGUGCUGUCCCUCUGAUCAAGGAAUUAUCAGAAGGAGGGCUUCAGCAGAGCACCCAAAAACAGGAGAAGGAGAAGAGGUGGAGAUACUACCAACCCCCAGUCUCACCUGCAGUUGGAUCCUAGGUUUUUUUAUAGGGGAGAUAAGAUCAUUUAACUCUACUUGGCAAACCCAGGGAUUUUCUAGGGCUAAGUUUAUAUAUGAACAAACAGAAUGGCCACUCCGUCAGAAUGCUUGGAUAAACCAUUUGCUUCUUGGUGACUGACUGAGGUUAUAUUUUAACAAAAUAUAGGGAUGUUUGCUCUCUUUGGCCAAUAAGUGACAAAGGUCCAGGUCUAUGGCCUUGGUUCCAUGACUGCAGCAUCCGUGAAUUUUGAUAGGAAUAUAGGAAGCUGCUGUAUUUCUACUGAGUCAGACCAUAGGUCCAUUUAGCUAAGUAUUGCCUACACUGACUGGCAGCAGCUUUCCAGAGUUUCAGACAGAAGUCCUUCCCAGCCGCACCUGGAGAUGCCAGGGAUUGAACCUAAAACCUUCUGCAUACUAAAACAGGUGUUCUGCCACUGAUCUACAGCACACCUGAAUAUGACGAGUCAUUCUAGAAAUAACAGCUAGCUCUUCUCUUCCCUUUAUUUUUGAGUGCUAAUAAGGACUUUGGAAGCGAUUGACUCUAAACUUCUUUGUGAGCAAAAUUUGUCUCCAUUUCACUUGAUAAUGGGAAGAGAUGAAGAUACUAACCUCACAGUUCUAACCAGGUCUGCUCGGAGGUAACACUACUGAAUUCAGUGAGGCUUACUCCCAGGUAAGUGGGAUUGCAGCCUUUGUCUUGGGAGACAUAGGAUCAAUGCUGCCAUAAUGUUAACCGGAUCUCUUCCAUUGUUCUUAUACAAGAGCACAGGUUUGGGAGUGCGUAUCUGAGGAUUUUUUGGAGAAGGUUGUUUGGUCCAUGAGGCUUCCAGGGAAAAGAAAGAAAGACAGGAUUACAUGCCUGUGAAUAAUAGCUAAUGCAUAACUAAUAAGGCAUUUUGGAGACUUAUGUGUUGAAUUAUUCAUUUGUUUGGUGCUCUGACAGCAGAAGUUGCCUUUCAGGGUGAGUGAGAAUUCUCUUGUCAUAUGUAGACUCUCAAAUAACAGAUGUCUAUAAAGAAAGGUGUGGUAGAAGGGAAAGGAGAAGAAUGGACCAAAGAAAGGCAGCCAGAAGCCUUUUGAUGACUGAUGGCACAGCUGAGAUUUUGUUUAUGUCGUUUGUGUGAUUCUUGUGGACCAUCAAUGUUCAGUUCUUCUUAAGCCACAGACAACAGCCAUUUAAGCCUAUGGCUGGGGAACCUGCAUAGGACUUGCCUACGCCAUAUAGGUUUUCAUUUGGUAGGAUGUAACCUGGAGCCUCACCUAAGGUCUGUUCCUAGAGGAAAUAAAAAAGACAGACAGACAGGGUGAGAAAGGAAGCAAGUGAGAGAAAGGAAGAUCUAAAAAGAUGGAGCCAUUUAGAUGGAUAAUAGUAAGUUUACCCAGUGUUGAAGGUUGGGAUAAAAUAUGGGCCCUGACUCACAAAAGGUUGGAGCCUGGUGCUUUAAAAUAUUCAAGGAAAGAGAACUCAAAAAUAAAAUAUAGGGCAGAAGUCUUGCUCAUUAAACUUAUUGGGAAAUUGAUUGAUUUUAAUGACACUUUCAGAAGUAUGGCUUUUCCGUUGCUGUGUCUACAUUUUCCUUCUGUUAGUAAUUCAUUUGUUUCAAAAAUACAGAUUUUCUUCUUAGUGCACCCAGAGCACUCGGAGCUCUGCUCUUAUUGUAAUUUCAUACAGCAUUGUCUGCUGGGACCCUUUCCUGCUCAAACCGCAUUGGAAUGUGGCCCUGAUUUCAAUAGGCCUUGCAUACAAGUUUCCCAGUGGAUUGUACUUAAUAUCUCCCUUGAUUAAAAUAUUAAUUCUUGCUACUCAUGAUUGUGAUACAUUUCCUUCUUGUAGAUGUAAAUUCUGGGUAGUGUGGAGGCUAUUAAUGAAGCAUAUGGUGCUAUGGGGAAAGGGGAAAAUACAUUUAGCAACAAGCUGAACUUUGAUUGUCAUUACAGAUUAUAUAAUUAAAAAAAUAUUGUUGGAACAGUGCAGUGUGCUAUAGCUCAGUGGUACAACAUAUAGUUUACACCAUCCUUAUAAACAGGCUGUAUAUUCCUGCAUUGCAAGGGGCUGGACUACAUGAUCCUCUGGGUCCCUUCCAACUCUACAAUUCUAUGAGUCUGGCUGCAUAGCAUGUGCUCUACCGCUUGAGGCAUGGCCCAGAACUAUAGCUCUUUUUCCAAGGAGCUCAGGAGCACAUGUAUAUUUAAAGAAAUUGCACUUUUUUGUGCAGCAUGAAAAGGGGUGACUUUUGCUAAUUCUCAAUUUUCCUGCUUCCUCUUGAUCCAAGCCACUGCCUAUUUUUAUUACACUAUUUUCAUGUAUAGGUAUUUUCUGGAGAGACUGGGUGCUGUUUUGGUUUAGCCUCUUUACCAUUGGCAGUUCCUAUUGUUUAGUUCAUUCUGGAGAGCUAGCUGCACCCCAGUGUUCAUUUUAAAAGAAAAGUGAAAUGGAAAAUAAGGUUUCACAUUCCAAUCUAAUAGGCAUUAAAUGGCAAGAUUCAAGACAUUCACUUUUUCACUUUAGUUGCAUUGUGCUUGUUUGGAAUAGGAAGAUUGGGAGUAGCAGCAAACUCACUUUAUGGUUCAGUCACAACAUGUACUUUAUAUAUGGGAAGUACUUAUACUUACUAGAUGAUGGGCAUGUGAAGAUGGGUAAGGAAGUUGAAGUCGGUUGUCUAGCUCUGUUCAAUUUCAGAGUCUGUUAUUUCUUCACUUGGGGAAUUUGAUUCACAGAGUAUGUGAAUUAUACUGUAAUGAGGACUCAUUCAAAUACUGCCUCCGACCUUUCUCCUCUCCCCAAAAAACCCCAAGGCAAUAUGUUAUUUUGCUUUUUUUGCUGUAGGUCUCAAGUAAGAAUGCCUCUUUCAACCCGGUUAUUCAGCUCCUCCAACAUCUGGCACCAUCGUCUCUGAAAAUGACAGGUUUGUAUUAAGAGGUCUGGAUAAGUGUGAGUGCCAAGUCUGUACUUGGAAACAGCCAUCUGUGUGUGCACUGCUCUUACGGAUGCUGGCCAGCACAAACACAAGGGGGAAAACCCACACCCAACACCUGAAAGUGUGCAUACAGUGCUGACCUGGGGGGUUGGGAGACUGACUCAAGGCAGUGUCUCCUUCCCCAACAGGUGAUCACUAUCUGAACUGAAUAUAUUGCUCAUCUGUUUUGUGGUGAGUGCAGGAAAUCCUCACAUCUUACAUCUUGCAGCUUAUGCACAGCUGCUUAUACACAGUAUGAUCUCUGGAUCUGGGGCUAUUAUGUUACAUGCCUGUUUUCUUUUAUACUGGCACAGGGGUUUGUGGGAGAUACCCAGAAAUUUUGGGUAAAUAGGUUUGUCGGAUCAUUCCAGGUUCCAACUAACCAAGAUUGGAUGGCUGGGGCUUCUUAUCCCGUUGUGUAAAUAUCUGUCUGCUGUUAUGUAACAUUUGCUUGGGAUUUAUUUUUAAGACGUUAAAAGUAUUUUUCCAAGAAGUUUUUCUGUCUCUUUAUUGCCC